UGGGGAAUUUUGGACAAUGGGCGAAAGCCUGAUCCAGCAAUGCCGCGUGUGUGAAGAAGGCCUUCGGGUUGUAAAGCACUUUUGUCCGGAAAGAAAUCCUUGGCUCUAAUACAGUCGGGGGAUGACGGUACCGGAAGAAUAAGCACCGGCUAACUACGUGCCAGCAGCCGCGGUAAUACGUAGGGUGCAAGCGUUAAUCGGAAUUACUGGGCGUAAAGCGUGCGCAGGCGGUUUGCUAAGACCGAUGUGAAAUCCCCGGGCUCAACCUGGGAACUGCAUUGGUGACUGGCAGGCUAGAGGUAUGGCAGAGGGGGGUAGAAUUCCACGUGUAGCAGUGAAAUGCGUAGAGAUGUGGAGGAAUACCGAUGGCGAAGGCAGCCCCCUGGGCCAAUACUGACGCUCAUGCACGAAAGCGUGGGGAGCAAACAGGAUUAGAUACCCUGGUAGUCCACGCCCUAAACGAUGUCAACUAGUUGUUGGGGAUUCAUUUCCUUAGUAACGUAGCUAACGCGUGAAGUUGACCGCCUGGGGAGUACGGUCGCAAGAUUAAAACUCAAAGGAAUUGAC
rnacentral:rRNA from 1 species